rnacentral:lncRNA from 1 species
UCAUAUAUAGUUUUGAUUCCAAGGCCAUGAAGCUAAUAGCUUUGUAAUUGAACUCCGUUGUGCCAUGAAAUUUUAGCUUCUUUAGAACAUGGCAAUAGCUGUUUCCUGAUUACUCUUUUGAAGCAACGGAAGGUAUAUGUGAAAUUGCCUAAGAGGGAAUCUUUUCUUCUUCUAUGCACUCUGCGUUUAUUCUCUGUUAGUUUCUGCUGUAGUUAUUCUUAACUAGGGUUUUAGCUCAUAGAAAUUUUGGCAUGAGCAAGGUUUGGUUGGUGCUAUAUCCAAUCUCCAUCCACGUACAAGUAGUUUGUGGUCUUCUCGUAGACAAAUGCUUACAAACACCUUGCUUCUGUACCUUUUCUUUAGUAUGGCAUGGCAUGGCUGAACAAUGCAAGACACCCUAACAACUACCAGAAGAUUAUAAUAGGUUUCUCCUGGUUGACCUAAAAGCCUGAUUCUUAGUCUGGAACUGGAAAACUUAGUCCUUAACUUUAAAAUAAUAGAAACAAAUUAUAUAAGUAGCAGAACUGGAUUGAGUUCAUAAUAUAGUAUCUCAACAAUAGCUGGUCUUUUUUUUACUUAAGAGAUUGAUCAAUUCAAUUACGUAUGUUUCGAGGUUGGUGGUUGGAGCUAAGAUCAUGCCUGCAAUUACUGGAGAGGUAUCAUUGUAGAUUCUGGUUUGUCCUACAUUGUGUUCUUAAAUGGUUCUCCAUGAGCAAUUCCAGUGGCAUCCUUCAGCACAUUUAUGGUUAAUAUGGAUACUUUUUGAAGUUGCAAAUAUUAUAGAUAUUUCUAUCAUUGACAUACAUUUAUGGACCCCCUUCCACCCUUUGAUAUGUCAUAGACACUCUUCUAAAGAUAUAAAAAUAAUAAUGAAUGUUCUUCCGAUUUAAAAAUCUAUGAGGAUAUAUGUCAAAAGUUGCAUGUGUGUAUAUAUGUUUGAUAGUAUUUAAAAAUCUAUCAUGAUAGAUUUAAAAAUCUGUCAUGAUAUUUUCAAUUUUGAGGGGCAUAAAAUAUUGUAUAUUUUUAAUUGUAUGCAUGAAAUUGUCCUUCUUCCACUUUGUUGUUUACUUGUUGAAUAUAUUUUUAGUCUUGGAUGGACAAUUUGUUUAAUGCUUUCAGACUUUUGUAUGCUUUCAUUUAGUUGGAGACAUGCUACAGAUGUCUGUGCAGGCAUUCUUUCUUUUCCAAGCGACAGAUGAAAACUGGGGCAAACUUGUUGCACACAGCUCUGCAUGAAUUUUCUAAGACAAUUAGGAAAAGGACACCAACCAAAUUAUCCUCUCCCAUGGGAUGCUUGAAAAUUAAUGGAGUACUUCAAUUCCC